rnacentral:tRNA from 1 species
UUCUCACAUUGGCAGACAAUUGCAGUAGACUUAGAUUCUAAAUAUACAAAA